rnacentral:misc_RNA from 1 species
CCGAUUAAAGGUUUGCUUUAAAACAAUUAUCUCUGGAAGCAAGGUAUGUGCGAUAUCCUGCGGUGAAAUUUCAAUUUUAAUUUAUGGACCGAAGGGUGAAUUACUCUUUAUUACGUGACGAUGGUGUAUGCUAAUUUGAGUCGCAUCGGUAAUAUGUAAUGGCGAUCGUAAAUUUUAGGUUGUUCUUUGAUAAAUCAGUCACGUUUUUGUGCCAGGAUUUAAAUCAGACACGAGAUACAAAUGUAUAACCGUUUCAUCAUUGAUGAAAUCUCUAGAUAUGAAAACAAUUUUGUUCGUUCUUUUUAACAAUAGAUAUUU